GUGCUCGCUUCGGCAGCACAUAUACUAAAAUUGGAACGAUACAGAGAAGAUUGGCAUCGCCCCUGCGCAAGGAUGACACGCAAAAAAGUACCCAGCAAAGCCAAGUGUUU
ensembl:snRNA U6 U6 spliceosomal RNA